rnacentral:rRNA from 1 species
CCUACGGGAGGCAGCAGUGAGGAAUAUUGGUCAAUGGACGCAAGUCUGAACCAGCCAUGCCGCGUGCAGGAAGACGGCUCUAUGAGUUGUAAACUGCUUUUGUACGAGGGUAAACGCAGAUACGCGUAUCUGUCUGAAAUUAUCGUACGAAUAAGGAUCGGCUAACCCCGUGCCAGCCGCCGCGGUAAUACGGAGGAUUCAAGCGUUAUCCGGAUUUAUUGGGUUUAAGGGGUGCGUAGGCGGUCGGAUAAGUUAGAGGUGAAAUCCCGAGGCUCAACUUCGGAAUUGCCUCUGAUACUGUUCGGCUAGAGAGUAGUAGCGGUAGGCGGAAUGUAUGGUGUAGCGGUGAAAUGCUUAGAGAUCAUACAGAACACCGAUUGCGAAGGCAGCUUACCAGGCUACUUCUGACGUUGAGGCACGAAAGCGUGGGGAGCAAACAGGAUUAGAUACCCGGGUAGUC